rnacentral:rRNA from 1 species
UACGGGGGGAGCAAGCGUUGUUCGGAUUUACUGGGCGUAAAGGGCGCGUAGGCGGCCUCCGCAAGUCAGUUGUGAAAUCUCCGUGCUUAACUCGGAAAGGUCAACUGAUACUGCGGGGCUAGAGUGCGGAAGGGGCAACUGGAAUUCUUGGUGUAGCGGUGAAAUGCGUAGAUAUCAAGAGGAACACCUGCGGCGAAGGCGGGUUGCUGGGCCGACACUGACGCUGAGGCGCGAAAGCUAGGGGAGCGAACGGG